GAUGAACGCUGGCGGCGUGCUUAACACAUGCAAGUCGAACGAAGCGCCUUGGACAGAUUCUUCGGAUGAAGUUUUUGGUGACUGAGUGGCGGACGGGUGAGUAACGCGUGGGUAACCUGCCUCACACUGGGGGAUAACAGUCAGAAAUGACUGCUAAUACCGCAUAAGCGCACGGAACCGCAUGGUUUUGUGUGAAAAAACUCCGGUGGUGUGAGAUGGACCCGCGUUGGAUUAGCCAGUUGGCAGGGUAACGGCCUACCAAAGCGACGAUCCAUAGCCGGCCUGAGAGGGUGAACGGCCACAUUGGGACUGAGACACGGCCCAGACUCCUACGGGAGGCAGCAGUGGGGAAUAUUGCACAAUGGGGGAAACCCUGAUGCAGCGACGCCGCGUGAAGGAAGAAGUAUC
rnacentral:rRNA from 1 species